rnacentral:rRNA from 1 species
CCGCACGCGCGCUACACUGAUGCCUUCAGCGAGUCUCGACCUGGCCGAGAGGGCCGGGGAACCUUUUGAACUUGCCUCCGGAUGGGGAUAGAUUAUUGCAACUAUUAAUCUUCAACGAGGAAUUCCUAGUAAGCGCAUGUCAUCCACGUGCGUUGAUUACCUCCCUGCCCUUUGUACACACCGCCCGU